GGGUGCUGAACUUUCACCUCUCACUUCCUGUAAGGCCUAGUCUGAAAAGGAAAGCAUGGCAUGGUGGAGACUCUCUGUAUUCUCCUGGAUGGAUUCUCCUGGAUUAAAGAUGGGCCGCUGUCAAAGCACCUGACCAAGACUGACAACUGGUGAAUGGAAAACCGGAAUAAGCACUUGGAAGAAGAAAACCGACAACUGAGACAACUUGCCUUUGAUUUGCCUGGCAUAAUGGAUACUUUGAAAACCACAAGAGC